CCUACGGGCGGCUGCAGUGGGGAAUAUUGCACAAUGGGCGAAACCCUGAUGCAGCGACGCCGCGUGAGGGAUGAAGGAUUUCGGUGUUUAAAGCUCUAUCAGCAGGGGAGAAGAAAGACGGUACCUGACUAAGAAGUCCCUGCUAACUACGUGCCAGCAGCCGCGGUAAUACGUAGGGGGCAAGCGUUAUCCGGAUUUACUGGGUUUAACGGGAGCGUAGACGGCUGUUCAAGUCUGAAGUGAAAGCCCAGGGCUCAACCCUGGGACUGCUGUUGAAACUGUGGAGCUAGAGUGCUGGAGAGGUAAGUGGAAUUCGUGGUGUAGCGGUGAAAUGCGUAGAUAUUAGGAGGAACACCAGUGGCGAAGGCGGCUUACUGGACAGUAACUGACGUUGAGGCUCGAAAGCGUGGGGAGCAAACAGGAUUAGAUACCCUGGUAGUC
rnacentral:rRNA from 1 species